AAAAGCUCUACCUUCUUGUUUGACCAAUCUUAAUUUAUUUCUCUGUAAUCUAUAACUAUUGCUGCUGAGUAACUACCUAAUUGGAUAAUACUUGAAAUUCACAGAGGGCUGACAUUAACUUUGAAAGCUCCACCAUUACUCUUGAUCAGUUGAUGCAUGUAUUCCAGAAAAACUAUAAUCUUCUGUUGGGCAUCUUCAAUCCAGAGGGAUGGUUGGAAAUCACGUAUCCUAAGAUCAUAUCAUGGACAAACUAAAGGGCCGUGAAACACGCUUGUUUUUCUCUGUCUUUUAUUCUAUCAUUGAUGAAAAUUCUUGUUGUUUCUUAUUUCAAUCUUUCUCAUAGAUAUGUUGAUGACACCAUGAGGAUUGGAAGGGACAACAAGGGUAAUAUCUUUGUGCUGGAAAAAAUUGAAGAUAGAAGUCGUAAUCCUCAAGGAAGAGGCGAAACACCAAGAACCAAAGGACAAGGUGGCAGCGAUGGCGAUGGUGAGGAGGCAAAGGAUGUUGGAAUGCGAAAAGGAAAACAUGGAGAAGAAGCCCUUCAUGGACAUACAAACUGAGACCAAGAGAUUCAGGCAAACAACACUUGAUUUGAUUUUCAUUUUUAGCAUUCAGCAACAAUCGUUACAAAUCAGUAACAACAGCAGCAAGAAAAUUUCAACAAAAGCUUCAGGAAUUAAAAAAAGAGCAACAGCACAAAAUCAAUUAUUUGAUUUUCCAUUAACCCAGUCACAGUUUCACAUUCAAAAAUCAA